UUAAGCGACUAAGCGUACACGGUGGAUGCCCUGGCAGUCAGAGGCGAUGAAGGACGUGCUAAUCUGCGAAAAGCGUCGGUAAGGUGAUAUGAACCGUUAUAACCGGCGAUGUCCGAAUGGGGAAACCCAGUGUGAUUCGUCACACUAUCGUUAACUGAAUACAUAGGUUAACGAGGCGAACCGGGGGAACUGAAACAUCUAAGUACCCCGAGGAAAAGAAAUCAACCGAGAUUCCCCCAGUAGCGGCGAGCGAACGGGGAGCAGCCCAGAGUCUGAAUCAGCUUGUGUGUUAGUGGAACGGUCUGGAAAGUCCGACGGUACAGGGUGAUAGUCCCGUACACCAAAAUGCACAGGUUGUGAACUCGAAGAGUAGGGCGGGACACGUGGUAUCCUGUCUGAAUAUGGGGGGACCAUCCUCCAAGGCUAAAUACUCCUGACUGACCGAUAGUGAACCAGUACCGUGAGGGAAAGGCGAAAAGAACCCCGGCGAGGGGAGUGAAAAAGAACCUGAAACCGUGUACGUACAAGCAGUGGGAGCACCUUCGGGUGUGACUGCGUACCUUUUGUAUAAUGGGUCAGCGACUUAUAUUCUGUAGCAAGGUUAACCGUAUAGGGGAGCCGCAGGGAAACCGAGUCUUAACUGGGCGUUAAGUUGCAGGGUAUAGACCCGAAACCCGGUGAUCUAGCCAUGGGCAGGUUGAAGGUUGGGUAACACUAACUGGAGGACCGAACCGACUAAUGUUGAAAAAUUAGCGGAUGACUUGUGGCUGGGGUGAAAGGCCAAUCAAACCGGGAGAUAGCUGGUUCUCCCCGAAAGCUAUUUAGGUAGCGCCUCGUGAAUUCAUCUUCGGGGGUAGAGCACUGUUUCGGCUAGGGGGUCAUCCCGACUUACCAACCCGAUGCAAACUACGAAUACCGAAGAAUGUUAUCACGGGAGACACACGGCGGGUGCUAACGUCCGUCGUGAAGAGGGAAACAACCCAGACCGCCAGCUAAGGUCCCAAAGUCAUGGUUAAGUGGGAAACGAUGUGGGAAGGCACAGACAGCCAGGAUGUUGGCUUAGAAGCAGCCAUCAUUUAAAGAAAGCGUAAUAGCUCACUGGUCGAGUCGGCCUGCGCGGAAGAUGUAACGGGGCUAAACCAUGCACCGAAGCUGCGGCAGCGACACUAUGUGUUGUUGGGUAGGGGAGCGUUCUGUAAGCCUGCGAAGGUGGCCUGUGAGGGUUGCUGGAGGUAUCAGAAGUGCGAAUGCUGACAUAAGUAACGAUAAAGCGGGUGAAAAGCCCGCUCGCCGGAAGACCAAGGGUUCCUGUCCAACGUUAAUCGGGGCAGGGUGAGUCGACCCCUAAGGCGAGGCCGAAAGGCGUAGUCGAUGGGAAACAGGUUAAUAUUCCUGUACUUGGUGUUACUGCGAAGGGGGGACGGAGAAGGCUAUGUUAGCCGGGCGACGGUUGUCCCGGUUUAAGCAUGUAGGCUGGUUAUCCAGGCAAAUCCGGAUAAUCAAGGCUGAGGUGUGAUGACGAGGCACUACGGUGCUGAAGUAACAAAUGCCCUGCUUCCAGGAAAAGCCUCUAAGCAUCAGGUAACAUUAAAUCGUACCCCAAACCGACACAGGUGGUCAGGUAGAGAAUACCAAGGCGCUUGAGAGAACUCGGGUGAAGGAACUAGGCAAAAUGGUGCCGUAACUUCGGGAGAAGGCACGCUGGUGUGUAGGUGAAGUCCCUGCGGAUGGAGCUGAGACCAGUCGAAGAUACCAGCUGGCUGCAACUGUUUAUUAAAAACACAGCACUGUGCAAACACGAAAGUGGACGUAUACGGUGUGACGCCUGCCCGGUGCCGGAAGGUUAAUUGAUGGGGUUAUCCGUAAGGAGAAGCUCUUGAUCGAAGCCCCGGUAAACGGCGGCCGUAACUAUAACGGUCCUAAGGUAGCGAAAUUCCUUGUCGGGUAAGUUCCGACCUGCACGAAUGGCGUAAUGAUGGCCAGGCUGUCUCCACCCGAGACUCAGUGAAAUUGAACUCGCUGUGAAGAUGCAGUGUACCCGCGGCAAGACGGAAAGACCCCGUGAACCUUUACUAUAGCUUGACACUGAACAUUGAGCCUUGAUGUGUAGGAUAGGUGGGAGGCUUUGAAGCGUGGACGCCAGUCUGCGUGGAGCCAACCUUGAAAUACCACCCUUUAAUGUUUGAUGUUCUAACGUUGGCCCCUGACCGGGGUUGCGGACAGUGUCUGGUGGGUAGUUUGACUGGGGCGGUCUCCUCCCAAAGCGUAACGGAGGAGCACGAAGGUUAGCUAAUCCUGGUCGGACAUCAGGAGGUUAGUGCAAUGGCAUAAGCUAGCUUGACUGCGAGCGUGACGGCGCGAGCAGGUGCGAAAGCAGGUCAUAGUGAUCCGGUGGUUCUGAAUGGAAGGGCCAUCGCUCAACGGAUAAAAGGUACUCCGGGGAUAACAGGCUGAUACCGCCCAAGAGUUCAUAUCGACGGCGGUGUUUGGCACCUCGAUGUCGGCUCAUCACAUCCUGGGGCUGAAGUAGGUCCCAAGGGUAUGGCUGUUCGCCAUUUAAAGUGGUACGCGAGCUGGGUUUAGAACGUCGUGAGACAGUUCGGUCCCUAUCUGCCGUGGGCGCUGGAGAAUUGAGGGGGGCUGCUCCUAGUACGAGAGGACCGGAGUGGACGCAUCACUGGUGUUCGGGUUGUCAUGCCAAUGGCACUGCCCGGUAGCUAAAUGCGGAAGAGAUAAGUGCUGAAAGCAUCUAAGCACGAAACUUGCCCCGAGAUGAGUUCUCCCUGAGACUUUAAGUCUCCUGAAGGAACGUUAAAGACGAUGACGUUGAUAGGCCGGGUGUGUAAGCGCAGCGAUGCGUUGAGCUAACCGGUACUAAUGAACCGUGAGGCUUAACCUU
rnacentral:rRNA from 1 species